UUAAGAUACUAAGAGCAUACGGUGGAUGCCUUGGCGAUAUCUGCCGACGAAGGACGUGACAAGCUGCGAAAAGCUGCGGAGAGAUGCAAAUAAUCGGCGACCCGCAGACAUCCGAAUGGAGAAAUCCGGCUGUGAUGAUGCACAGCCAUCCAUGCCCAAGAGCAUGAGAAGGGAACCGGGCGAACUGAAACAUCUAAGUAGCCCGAGGAAAAGAAAUCAAACGAGAUACCCCAAGUAGCGGCGAGCGAACAGGGAAGAAGCCCAAACCGGUGAAGGAAACUUUACCGGGGUUGAGGACCAUCAGACCCGCGAAGAACUUUAGCCGAAACUGUUGGGAAACAGUGCCGAAGACAGUGAAAGCCUGGUAGGCGAAAAAGAGAAACGCGGAGAUGGCACCAGAGUACCGCGGGACACGAGAAAUCCCGUGGGAAGCAGGGGGGACCACCCUCCAAGGCAAAACACAGAUAUCGACCGAUAGCGCAUAGUACCAUGAGGGAAAGGUGAAAAGCACCCCGGGAGGGGAAUGAAAGAGAACCUGAAACCGUAUGUUUACAAGCAGUCGGAGACCGCUUAAUAAUAAGGUCGACGGCGUGCCUAUUGAAGAAUGAACCGGCGAGUUACGAAGCCUGGCAAGGUUAAGCAGGAAAUGCGGAGCCGAAGCGAAAGCGAGUCUUAAGAGGGCGCAAGUCAGGAAGCGUAGACCCGAAACCACAGUGAUCUACCCAUGUCCAGGUUGAAACACAGGUAAAAAUGUGUGGAGGACCGAACCUAUAUCCGUUGAAAAGGGUUAGGAUGAGGUGUGGGUAGGGGUGAAAUUCCAAUCGAACGUGGAGAUAGCUGGUUCUCCCCGAAAUAGCUUUAGGGCUAGCCUCAGGGAAAAGAUUGCAGGCGGUAGAGCACUGAUCAGGAGAGGGACCUACCCGGUUACCAAACCCAGUCAAACUCCGAAUGGCUGCAAUCAUACCUGGGAGUCAGACUGCGACUAAUAAGGGCCGUAGUCAAAAGGGAAACAGCCCAGACCAUCAGCUAAGGUCCCCAAUGCCGUGCUAAGUGGCGAAGGAUGUGGCAUUUCAUAAACAACCAGGAUGUUGGCUCAGAAGCAGCCACCAUUUAAAGAGUGCGUAAUAGCUCACUGGUCGAGAGACGCUGCGCCGAAAAUGUCCGGGGCUCAAGCACGGAACCGAAGCUAUGGCAUGAUAGCAAUAUCAUGGGUAGGGGAGCGUUCUUAUAAGGAAGAAGCAUGACCGGAAGGACAUGUGGACGAAUAAGAAGUGAGAAUGCCGGUAUGAGUAUCGAAAAGAAAGGUGAGAAUCCUUUCCACCGAAAGCCCGAGGGUUCCUGAGCAACGAUCGUCGACUCAGGGUAAGUCGGGACCUAAGCCGAGGCGAGAAGCGUAGGCGAUGGACAACAGGUUGAAAUUCCUGUACCGGAUCAAGUCGAUCGAGCGAAGGAGCGACGCAGGAGGGCACAUGAUCGCGCGGCUGGAAGAGCGCGUCCAAGUGCGUAUGUUGCAGCAGAGGAAAACCCCUGCAGCUAAAAGCAGAGACAUGAUGGGGAGUUAAAGGAAACUUUGACGAACUCAUGGAUCCCACACUGCCAAGAAAAACUUCUAGCGAGACAAGAUCCGCCCGUACCGUAAACCGACACAGGUAGGCGGGGAGAGAAUCCUAAGGUGCGCGGGAAAACCCUCGUUAAGGAACUCGGCAAAUUGCAUCCGUAACCUAGGGAGAAGGAUGGCCCCCGGUCAGUGAAGAGCAGAAACGCUCAGAGCUAAAAGGGGCGGCAGAAAAGAGGCCCAAGCAACUGUUUACCAAAAACACAGGUGCCUGCGAAAGCGAAAGCUGAAGUAUAGGUGCUGACGCCUGCCCGGUGCCGGAAGGUUAAGGAGAGAAGUUAGCGAAAGCGAAGCAUCGAACUGAAGCCCCGGUGAACGGCGGCCGUAACUAUAACGGUCCUAAGGUAGCGAAAUUCCUUGUCGGGUAAGUUCCGACCCGCAUGAAAGGCGUAAUGAUUUGGGCACUGUCUCAACGAGGGGCCCGGUGAAAUUGAAAUACCUGUGAAGAUGCAGGUUACCCGCGACUGGACAGAAAGACCCCAUGGAGCUUCACUGCAGCUUGAGAUUGAAUCCCGGUGACAGAUGCACAGGAUAGGUGGGAGGCGCCGAAGCAUUGCCCUAGGGCGGUGCGGAGCCGAUGUUGGGAUACCACCCUUCUGUUGCUGAGAUUCUAACGCGAGGAGUAACGACCCUGCGGACCCUCUCAGGCAGGCGGUUUGACUGGGGCGGUCGCCUCCGAAAGAGU
rnacentral:rRNA from 1 species